AAGUCGCACGGUGGCAUACCAAGGACCUUUCCGUCCUGGACCGAUUUAGCCGGCCCCUGGCGACUGGUUGCAACCAUAACUUUAACAUAAUAUCGCAUUGUGGCAUACCAAGGAUCUUUCCAUCCUGGACCCAUUCAACGGGCCCCUAGCGAUAUAAUUUAAUGCAACUCACAUAUGGUAAACACAUAAUAUUAAAAUGGACAAAGAUUAACCACAGCAUGUACUGAAAUAAAUCCCACACCUGAACUUGAACUUGAAGCUAACUGAGAAAUUAAAGUUACGUCCUAGUCGCGUCGCACCUAGUCAGACAAAUUCAAAUAAUAACAUAUAAGGGCCUAAUUAAACUUUAAAUAAUAAUAAUAAUAAUAAUAAUAAUACUAGUUUAAAUCAUAAAACCAUUUAAAAUCAUUGGUCUAAUAAAUUAUAAAAGAGAUUUUCUUAUAAAAUAUUUGAGCUCAAUAUUUAAUUAAAAUUAAGUUCAAAUUAAUAAUACAAAUUUGAAUAUAAAAUUUAAUAAUAUCAUUUGUAAAAAUAUAUGCAAAUGCAGCCAUAUUAUAAAUAGAAUUAAGCCCAACCAUUUAAUAAAUUGAACCCAUUAACCUAAGCCCAAGCCCAAACCUCCCUUCACCCCAAUUUAAUCACACUCCCAAGUCCCACCACACACACACACAUCUCACGCAGCUCACCCUCUCUCAGCCCUCCUCCCUCUCCUCUUGUCGGCCUCCUGCCGCCGCCAACCAGACGGCACGCCGCCGCUGGCCUCCGGCGGCUCUGCCCCCUCCCCCCCCGUCCUCUCCUGUUUUCCAGCAACCAUACACCCGAUUUCCCCCUGUUCUAAGCCACAACCCCCUUUUUACCUCUUUCUCCUAUUCUAUUUUCCUUUUUCCAUGUAAUUAACAAGAUUCAUUCUUUUUGAUUAUGCAUUAUGCAUAUGUUGUGUAAUGGUUUUCCAAAAGAAACAUUUUUUCUAAAUAAAACAAGAAAUUGUGAGAGUUUUGGCAAUAUAUUGUGUCUGCAUAGGCGAAAAUUGAAGAAGAUAGCCAUGAUGAAUUAAAAGGAACUUUUGUUUGUUUUUGAAAAUAAUAGGUUUACCUUUCGAUGCCUGCACUGGAAAGAACAAAUGGAAAUCAAGGAAAAAAGAUGAGAAUCAAAGUUUGCUGCGUUUUUAUCAAUUUUCUUUCGGAAAUGAAAUGAUGAAGGCAGUAGCAGAGAUAUAGAUAAAAUGAAAAGGUGAAGGCGGUGGAAAAGAUAAAUAUGAUAAAAUUGAUACGGAUGAUAUUUGGCUCAAAACAUGGCUGCAGCAAAGUGAAACGUGUGGACUUAUUUUCAAAUAAAUCAAUUAAAAUAGCUGCUCACAAUAAAUUUCGAAAAUCUAUAGGCUUGUGUAGCUAAUUUAAAAGUUUAGUCCAACAUUAAAAUAAAAGGCCCAACGCAUAAAAAUUAUAUAAAUAUUUUAUCUAAGCUUCAAAUUCAUAUUAAAAGAAUAUUUGGGAAAAUAAAUUUAUAUUUCUAUAGGUAUAUUUUAUAGUUCAAAAUCACAUCUAACUAGGGGCGCGACUAGAUUCAUCACAAACUCGACUCAUAGAUAUAUAUAUAUAUUAAUAACUCGAAAAUAUAACAAUUUCGAAAUAAAAUUUGCAAGGGAAGUAAACGGUUUUGGGCUGUGACAAACCUACCCACUUAAAAAAAAAUCGUCCUCGAAAUUUAACAAUUCAUAGCUGCAAUAAUCUUCUACAUAAUAACUUGAAUACUGAACUUGAACAUUUUCAUAAUAACUUCAAUUAUUGCAGCAAAUUUCAACAUACUUUCAACGUAAAUACUUUAUACUCAUCCCCUUGAAAAAUAUUUGAAAUAUCUUUACCUUGAUGUCGGAGCACGUAGAGGUCGAAUGGAUUUUUUCACACAUGACUUUUAAAAAUUUUAUGGAAAAUAUUUUGCAGAGUCUAAGGAAAGUAGACCUGCUCUGAUACCACCUUGUGACACCCAAAUCCAUUUUAAAUUUACAUGAAAACGCACGCGGAAAAUCAUGACUAUAAAUAAAUAUUUAACAAGAAAAUAGUGAAAUAAAUUUUUAUUUAAAGUAUUUUACUCAAAAUAACAUCUUUAAAGAAAGAUAAAUACAAAACAUUUGACUCGCCAUUCGACCUUCCACGCGCCUCCGGCCUUUAAAACCUGAAAAUGUUAAGUAUGGGAUGAGCAUACAGGGUACACUCAGUGUGGGAACAUGCAAUCAUUAUCCACGUUAAUAAAAUGAGAAUCAUAUAUGAUCAAUACAUUCGUAACUGAAAAGUCGCACGGUGGCAUACCAAGGACCUUUCCGUCCUGGACCGAUUUAGCCGGCCCCUGGCGACUGGUUGCAACCAUAACUUUAACAUAAUAUCGCAUUGUGGCAUACCAAGGAUCUUUCCAUCCUGGACCCAUUCAACGGGCCCCUAGCGAUAUAAUUUAAUGCAACUCACAUAUGGUAAACACAUAAUAUUAAAAUGGGCAAAGAUUAACCACAGCAUGUACUGAAA
rnacentral:lncRNA from 1 species